AUUGAACGCUGGCGGCAUGCUUUACACAUGCAAGUCGAACGGUAACAGGCCGCAAGGUGCUGACGAGUGGCGAACGGGUGAGUAAUGCAUCGGAACGUGCCCAGUCGUGGGGGAUAACGCAGCGAAAGCUGUGCUAAUACCGCAUACGAUCUAUGGAUGAAAGCGGGGGACCGUAAGGCCUCGCGCGAUUGGAGCGGCCGAUGUCAGAGUAGGUAGUUGGUGGGGUAAAGGCCUACCAAGCCGACGAUCUGUAGCUGGUCUGCGAGGAGGACCAGCCCCACUGGGACUGAUACACGGCCCAGAGUCCUACGGGAGACAGCAGUUGGGAAUUUUGGACAAUGGGCGCAAGCCUGAUCCAGCAAUGCCGCGUGCAGGAAGAAGGCCUUCGGGUUGUAAACUGCUUUUGUACGGAACGAAACGGUCUGGGUUAAUACCCUGGGCUAAUGACGGUACCGUAAGAAUAAGCACCGGCUAACUACGUGCCAGCCGCCGCUGUAAGAC
rnacentral:rRNA from 1 species